UGGGUCAGUGAACUCAAAUUGGAAGGUCCGAGGUCAAUCACUUGUAUGGUUGUGGAGAAAUAAUGAUUUCAAAUAUAUAAGGGGAGAAAACUCCUAUAAGGGUUAACCAAAACACUUCGACUGAAUAGGUUGAAGUUGCGCCUUAUUGUAAACAGUAAUUUGGCAAACAUAUCAUUUCAUUAACUGUAACAGUUUCUUUUGAAUAACGAUAACAAGCAAAAUUCAAAAUUUAUAACAUGACCUUGACCUUUGACCUUGACCUCAAAGUCCUUCAAAUAGACCAAGGACUUCAUAUCUAAAGAC
rnacentral:lncRNA from 1 species